AUGAACGCUGGCGGCGUGCCUCACACAUGCCAGUCGCACGGAGUCCAGCCUUUAAGACCUUCGGGUCAAAGAGGGGAAGACUGAGUGGCGGACGGGUGAGUAACACGUGGGCAACCUGGCUCAUAGAGGGGGAUAACAGAGAGAAAUUUCUGCUAAUACCGCAUAAGCACACACUGCCGCAUGGCAGAGGGUGAAAAGAGAAUCGCUAUGAGAUGGACCCGCGUCUGAUUAGCCAGUUGGCAGGGUAAGAGCCUAUCAAAGCGACGAUCAGUAGCCGAUCUGAGAGGAUGAACGGCCACAUUGGGACUGAGACACGGCCCAAACUCCUACGGGAGGCAGCAGUGGGGGAUAUUGCACAAUGGGGGGAACCCUGAUGCAGCGACGCCGCGUGAGUGAAGAAGUAUUUCGGUAUGUAAAGCUCUAUCAGCAGGGAAGAUAAUGACAGUACCUGAAUAAGAAGCCCCGGCUAACUACGUG
rnacentral:rRNA from 1 species